rnacentral:rRNA from 1 species
UACGGAGGAUCCAAGCGUUAUCCGGAAUCAUUGGGUUUAAAGGGUCCGUAGGCGGUUUUAUAAGUCAGUGGUGAAAUCUGGUCGCUCAACGAUCAAACGGCCAUUGAUACUGUAGAACUUGAAUUACUUGGAAGUAACUAGAAUAUGUAGUGUAGCGGUGAAAUGCUUAGAGAUUACAUGGAAUACCAAUUGCGAAGGCAGGUUACUACAAGUACAUUGACGCUGAUGGACGAAAGCGUGGGGAGCGAACAGG